UAGGUUAACUAUUGACUUGAGCUCUUGUUUAUGAAAGUCUGGGCUUUUAAUGUCAUCUUAAUUAAUGUUACUUGCUGAUUUGCUUUUUUUUUUUUUUUAUAAAGGUUUUGCAGGCAAUUUGUCAUUGGAUGAAAGGAACAGUUUCAGAAAAAAACUUCUACGACACAGGAAAAGUUCCUGAUUUUAAAAUUUCUGAAGAGAGCUGCUGACAGAGAUAUAAAAAACACAGAAUCUUCCAUGCUAAUGGCCGUGCACCAGAGUUGGAGCGUAUCUCCUGUCGAAGAACAUCUCUAGACAUUAUGAACCAUAUGACUAAGACUGAAAAUCAUCAAUAAAACACAAGUGGAUUGAUAGCUCCAACACCAAUUAAGCAGACCUGAGCAGCUGAUCAAGGAUCACCAGAAACUCUGCAGAACUUCAGUACCCAGUCCUCAAUAAGUCCUCAAUAACCAGGACUGGAAACCAGAGUUCUAAAUAAAACCAAAGUCCAUUCAGCCACAGGUCACUGCAUCUUUUGCUGUAUGCUGGAGAAAAAGCAGCCAGGCUAAAGCAUUUAAAGUGGAAACUUUUGUCGUGGCUCAAAAAUCCAGGAUUGGGAUGGUGGAAGGAGCAGAAGAAGCAGAAGAUCAGAGAUCAGGCAGAGAUCUACUGAUGCCCCUGAGGGAACUGUUUAACUAAUGUGUUAGUUAAACCAAAAAUUUUCAGCACUCACCUUCAUGUCUUUCCAAACCUGUAAAACUUUUGGUCAUCUUUGAAACAUAAAUGUAGAUCUUUUUAAUGAAAUCUGAGAAAUUUCUGUCCCUCUAUUUCACAGUUUAUGCAACUACCACUUUCGAGCCUCAGAAAGGUAGUAAAGACAGCAUUAAAGUAAUCCAUGUGACUCCAGUUGUUUAACCUUAAUUUUAUGAAGUGAUGUGAAUGGUUUAUAUGCACAAAAAACAUUGCAUUUUUAUUCACACACAAACAAAAAUCUUAUGGUGCUUUUGUGAAAAUGCGUUGGAGAUACCUAAUGUAUGAAUAAAGACGUAAUUUUGUUGUUGUUGCUGUUUUUUGCAUACACAAGGCAUCUGUUAAAAAUAUCUUUAUUUGCAUUCUGCACAAAAGUUUCUUAUGGGUUUGGAGUGACAUGAGAGUAAGUAAUUAAUGGCAAAAUUAGCA